GGGGAAUAUUGCACAAUGGAGGAAACUCUGAUGCAGCGACGCCGCGUGAACGAUGAAGGCUUUCGAGUCGUAAAGUUCUGUCCUUGGGGACGAUAAUGACGGUACCCAAGGAGGAAGCCCCGGCUAACUACGUGCCAGCAGCCGCGGUAAUACGUAGGGGGCAAGCGUUGUCCGGAUUUAUCGGGCGUAAAGGGUUCGCAGGUGGCCUUUUAAGUCAGAUGUGAAAGAUCAAGGCUUAACCUUGGUAAGCAUUUGAAACUGAAAGGCUUGAGUUAAGGAGAGGAAAGUGGAAUUCCUAGUGUAGCGGUGAAAUGCGUAGAUAUUAGGAGGAAUACCAGUGGCGAAGGCGACUUUCUGGACUUAUACUGACACUGAGGAACGAAAGCAUGGGGAGCAAAC
rnacentral:rRNA from 1 species